ensembl:ncRNA C01B7.10 ncRNA
UUUUGGUACAAGCUUUGUCGGGCAGAGAUGAUGGAUUUGAUCUAUAUUUGAUGGGGGAAUAGGUCCAGGUAUAUAUGAAAAGGAUGACAAUAACAAUGAAUGAUGAUGUGUUCGUGUCGGAAUGAUGGGUCGGUGGAAUGAUGGGAUGGAACGAUGGGUGGAAAGGCACGGAAAAAAAAACGCACCCACCACCACGAAACCCACCAACGGAAGUAAAAAACGAAAGAAUAAGGGAAAAUGAAAAGAGAUGGGAUUAUGUGUGUAUUUUCUCUAUUUUGUAUGUAUCUCUUUUCUAUCCA